rnacentral:rRNA from 1 species
CCUACGGGAGGCAGCAGUGGGGAAUUUUGGACAAUGGGCGCAAGCCUGAUCCAGCUAUUCCGCGUGUGGGAUGAAGGCCCUCGGGUUGUAAACCACUUUUGUAGAGAACGAAAAGACACCUUUUAAUAAAGGGUGUUGCUGACGGUACUCUCAGAAUAAGCACCGGCUCACUACGUGCCAGCAGCCGCGGUAAUACGUAGGGUGCGAGCGUUAAUCGGAAUUACUGGGCGUAAAGGGUGCGCAGGCGGUUGAGUAAGACAGAUGUGAAAUCCCCGGGUGUAACUCGGGAAUGGCAUAUGUGACUGCUCGACUAGAGUGUGUCAGAGUGAGGUGGAAUUCCACGUGUAGCAGUGAAAUGCGUAGAUAUGUGGAAGAACCCCGAUUGCGAAGGCAGCUUGCUGCAGCGGAACUGACGCUGAUGCUCGAAAGCGCGGGUAUCGAACAGGAUUAGAUACCCCUGUAGUC